CACCCCGAGUGGUCGGGACGUUUAUUGGGCCUAAAGCAUCCGUAGCCGGUUCUACAAGUCUUCCGUUAAAUCCACCUGCUUAACAGAUGGGCUGCGGAAGAUACUAUAGAGCUAGGAGGCGGGAGAGGCAAGCGGUACUCGAUGGGUAGGGGUAAAAUCCGUUGAUCCAUUGAAGACCACCAGUGGCGAAGGCGGCUUGCCAGAACGCGCUCGACGGUGAGGGAUGAAAGCUGGGGGAGCAAAACCGGAUUAAAUACGCCGGUAGUCCCAGCUGUAAACGAUGCAAAACUCGGUGAUGAGUUGGGCUUAUUUGCUAACUCAGUGGCGGCAGGAAAACCCC
rnacentral:rRNA from 1 species